rnacentral:rRNA from 1 species
GAGUUUGAUCAUGGCUCAGAUUGAACGCUGGCGGCAUGCUUUACACAUGCAAGUCGAACGGCAGCGCGGGCUUCGGCCUGGCGGCGAGUGGCGAACGGGUGAGUAAUAUAUCGGAACGUACCCAAGAGUGGGGGAUAACGUAGCGAAAGUUACGCUAAUACCGCAUACGAUCCAAGGAUGAAAGCAGGGGACCGCAAGGCCUUGUGCUCCUGGAGCGGCCGAUAUCUGAUUAGCUAGUUGGUGAGGUAAAGGCUCACCAAGGCAACGAUCAGUGGCUGGUCUGAGAGGACGACCAGCCACACUGGAACUGAGACACGGUCCAGACUCCUACGGGAGGCAGCAGUGGGGAAUAUUGCGCAAUGGACGAAAGUCUGACGCAGCGACGCCGCGUGUGGGAUGAAGCUCUUCGGGGUGUAAACCACUGUUGCCCGGGGACGAAAUGCCCUUUCGACGGGAAUUUGACGGUACCGGGUGAGGAAGCACCGGCUAACUCUGUGCCAGCCGCCGCCGUAA